UGUGUUGCCCUUUAAGAAAUUUAACUUUUAAAUAUCUGCGUUAUUGUUGUUGGUUCAUAUUCUCAGGUAAAAUAAGAAGUUCAUAAUUACUUUUCUGUUUUAUCUACCUCAAUUUUAAAAAUUAAUAUUAUUUGUUAGGUGAUGAUGUCACUGCCUGUUUAGUCACUUCCUGUGAGUCCUUCAUGGUUCUUCCUGAAAACAAUGAGACAGUCAUGGUGUGCUCUCAUUAACAAUCCAUUGCAUCCACUGUAAUCCAUCAUAGAGGCAAUGCCAUAAAUUCAUCUAUGUGACGUUAGACAUGUUAAAGAUUAUAUAUUUUUUUCACGGCAACACGUCAAUGACAAAGAGUGACAGUAAAUGAUCAACCUUAUUACGACUCUAACUAAACACCAAGUUAAACCGUAGCCAAUGAAGACAGAGUUUCAACACACUGCACGAUAACACUACAAUGCUAGAAGAUAGGAAGAAGGGAAGAAAGGGGAAAAGAAGAAAAGGAGAAGGGGAAGAAGAGAAAGAAAAAAUGAAGAAAAGAAAGGGUGAAAUGUGACGUUUACAGCUAUUCCUUCCUUAGCAUUUGAGUUGAUCGACAACUUCUGGUUUCUUCAUGUGGAAAAAUUGCCCAUUUAUAUUUAUACUGUUUUAUAUUGCAGGUGCUCACCAAGACUGGGGUUCGAAUCCAGCUAAAAACAACUUUUUGUAAUGAAUUAAUUUUGUUUUAAUUUCAUUGAAUGCAUACUGUUCCCAGGUUAAUAAAAUAUACAAAUGUA